AAUUAAACUAAACUAAACAUUAUGGAAUAUUCAGUAAUGCUCCGUUUACAAAAAUGUUUAUUCAUCAAUUUCUACUUAUAUGUGGUUUGGAUUUUUGUUGUCGCCUUUUUUCUGUAUGCCAAGGUAAACUUACCUAUAGUUGGAUAUUUUAGGUCAUCUAACAAAAUAUCUUGCACUGACCGUGUUCACACUUCUUGCGUUAAUUGAAUCAGCAAGGCUCUAUCUUGGUCAUUACGGAAAUCUAUCAUGCAGAGUCCCAGAACUUGCAGG